rnacentral:rRNA from 1 species
UACAGGGGGCGCGAGCGUUGCUCGGAAUCACUGGGCGUAAAGCGUACGCAGGCGGACCGUUAAGUCGGGUGUGAAAUCCCAGGGCUCAACCCUGGGCGUGCAUUCGAUACUGGCGGUCUCGAGUACGGGAGAGGUGAGUGGAAUUCCUGGUGUAGAGGUGAAAUUCGUAGAUAUCAGGAGGAACACCGGUGGCGAAAGCGGCUCACUGGCCCGAUGACUGACGCUGAGGCGACGACAGCGUGGGGAGCAAACAGG